UCUUUUAUAGCAGACAUCUGGUCAGGCCCUGAAGCAGCUACAAUCUCUUUCAUUUGGUUGAUAUGGCUCUCUUUCUCCACAAGAGCUGCCUCCAGUUCUUUCUGGGUGUUGGUAUGUGUGUCCUAGGGCCGCAUUUAAUGAAUAAGAGGACUAAACUCAGGUCACUGGUUAUAUGCUUAGAGCACUCCAGAGUUCAGGUGAUAAAUCACCAAAGUGGGGCAAUCACAAUCUACUGGUAGCAGUGCAAAAGAGAUGCAAGCACAGAGAAGUGGCAAACCAGUUCUGAUGCAUGGCAUGCCAGAAACCGUAUCCAUACCUCGAGGCGGACCUGGAGGGACAUGAGCUGCUGCUCGCGUUCCUGGAGGAGGACGGAGAGAAGGCGCCGUUCCCUCAUCUUGUGCAGCACGCUGACGCUCAGCGUGGCGGCACCGACAGCCAGCAGCAGGAGCAGCAGUGCACCCUCUCACUAGCAUCCUUCCAGGCUCUCCAGCCUUGGCUCUGUUUAUUGCGGACCGGGACGGCAUCUGUGGCCGCAGUGUGAAGAAACUUGGCCUUCUUUU